AGGGCUAGGCCAGUGGUGGGGUGCUGUGGUGCUGAAGAGACUGGGCUCUGGGAAUCAGAGGGUGAGACUGCAUGACGAGAUUCCUUAAGGGAAUGUGUCUGAAUUUAAAGUAGUUUGGAAAGCUGCAAUUCGGAAAGACCACCAAGACUUUAAGGGAUGAGGAUUGAAUGAAGGUGCAUGUUGGACACCUGGCUGGGAAUGGCUCUGUAAUAGCAGGCCCUGUGGCGAGCUGAAGAGACUGUGUAUUCUGGACACUGGGAAACCCUUUUUCUUAAGAAAAUAUUGUGAGAAAGCAUGUGCUGGAUAAUUCAGUCCUGACAGACCUCUGUGGACCAACUUUACUAAUUCUCUCGAGAGAACUUCUUUGAGGUGGGCAGGAGGGCUCUGAAUGUUCUUGAUAUGGGAGUGCUGGGAAGGGAAGAGCAUGGUCCCUUUAAAUGAUAUGGGAGGGGGGAAGGGAAGUGCUGGGUGAAGGAGGGUGUGGUCCCUGGCUAUGGCUCUACUCCCAGGGACCUAGAUGAGGACAAACAUUUUCUGCCCAAAUGUUGCAUUUCCCAAGACCACCCUGGCCUGCCAUGCCCCAAUUCUCUGCCUAUAAAACCCCCAAGACCCUAGCAGGACACACACAAACUGCCUGACAAUGAGAGGAGCAGAUUGGCAGAAGAAGAUAGAAGGGGCUGGAUGUCAGGAGGGGCACAUCAGCAGAGGAAC
rnacentral:lncRNA from 1 species